UCUAACAGUACUUUGGAUAUGAUUGACUAUUUAUCGUUGUGCAGCCAUUUCAACCUGCUGUCUUCCCAUCUCCUGCUGCCAUUGCUGGGUGAAUGUGAAGCGCUAAUCCUUCUUUGCGCCACCACUACUGUUGCAGCAGCUCCUUCUGGAUGCAGCCUUCUAGCGCAGUUGCUUUCUGGAAGCACCCACGGACCCGUACAGGUGUUACAGGGAUGGAUUAUCAAUCAGCUGAUUCAGAGCACUUGAUGAAGCGUAUUCGCACUGUCCAAGCUGAUGAGGGGUCCUUUUCUGGUUCCAAUGUCUAUUCGCAAGAUGAUCUUCCUAAGGCUGUUGUCCGUACCCUUAUUCAAGGAUCUAAUGUAAGGAGCUCGCAUGGAAUUCCAUCCACAACAACAAACUAUUCUUCUAGGUUUGUAAUCGGGGAUAGUCUGAUCAUCACUUGUUUUUUGGUUCAUUUUUCGAUCUGAAGUUCUCAAUCAUUUUGUUUGUAGCCAAAAUGACCAUCACUCGUUUUUUGAUACAAACUGAAUCAACACCGUUGCAGGUACUGUA